UGGAAGUAUACAAUCGUAACAAGGUUUCCGUAGGUGAACCUGCGGAAGGAUCAUUACAGAAAUAGGAGAAAGGGCGCUUAACUGCGACCCUUUUCUUUCUACACAUGUGUUUUUCUUUUUUUUGAAAACUUUGCUUUGGUGGGCCCACGGCCUGCCAGAGAUUAAACUCAACCAAAUUUUUUAUUAAUUGUCAACUUGAUUAACUAAUAGUCAAAACUUUCAACAACGGAUCUCUUGGUUCUCGCAUCGAUGAAGAACGCAGCGAAAUGCGAUAAGUAAUAUGAAUUGCAGAUAUUCGUGAAUCAUCGAAUCUUUGAACGCACAUUGCGCCCUUUGGUAUUCCAAAGGGCAUGCCUGUUUGAGCGUCAUUUCUCCCUCAAACCUUCGGGUUUGGUGUUGAGCGAUACGCUGGGUUUGCUUGAAAGAAAGGCGGAGUAUAAACUAAUGGAUAGGUUUUUUUCUUCCACUCAUUGGUACAAACUCCAAACAUUCUUCCAAAUUCGACCUCAAAUCAGGUAGGACUACCCGCUGAACUUAAGCAUAUCAAAA
rnacentral:rRNA from 1 species